AUCUAAAGCUUAAGGACUAUGGAGUGGAUCUCAUUGAAGUUUCAGACAAUGGAUGUGGGGUAGAAGAAGAAAACUUUGAAGGCUUAACUCUGAAACAUCACACAUGUAAGAUUCAAGAGUUUGCCGACCUAACUGAGGUUGAAACUUUCGGCUUUCAGGGGGAAGCUCUGAGCUCACUGUGUGCACUGAGCGAUGUCACCAUUUCUACCUGCCACGCAUCGGCGAAGGUUGGGACUCGACUGGUGUUUGAUCACUAUGGGAAAAUCAUCCAGAAAACCCCCUACCCCCACCCCAGAGGGAUGACAGUCAGCGUGAAGCAGUUAUUUUCUACACUACCUGUGCGCCAUAAGGAAUUUCAAAGGAAUAUUAAGAAG
rnacentral:lncRNA from 1 species